GGGAUCCUCUGCAAUGUCUGUUGACGAGAUUGUGGAAGAGAUGAUGAGGCUUAACAAAUCACUACCAAUAAGGCCCGGGAUAGAUGAAGUUGAAGCAGCAAAAGUUUUAGUUAUGAAUAUGGACAAGGAGGAAAAAAUGAAGUUAGAGACAAUUGCGCGGCAAAACAAAAGAAAAGAUGUACCAGAAGAGCUAUUCAAAAUAUUGCAAGAGAUGCAGAGGAAUUUAGUUUAUUUUCAGAGUAAAGAAGAGAAGAGGGAAGC
rnacentral:misc_RNA from 1 species